rnacentral:rRNA from 1 species
GAUGAACGCUGGCGGCGUGCCUAAUACAUGCAAGUCGAGCGAACGGACGCGAACCUUGCUUCUCUGAUGUUAGCGGCGGACGGGUGAGUAACACGUGGAUCACCUACCUAUAAGACUGGGAUAAGUUCGGGAAACCGGAGCUAAUACCGGAUAAUAUUUUGCACCGCAUGGUUCUAAAGUGAAAGACGGUCUUGCUGUCUCUUAUAGCUGGCUCCGCGCUGCUUUAGCUAGUUGGUAAGGUAACGGCUUACCACGGCAACGAUGCAUAGCCGAGGUGAGAGGGGGAUCGGCCACAUGGGAACUGAGACACGGGCCAUAGGCCUACGGGAGGCAGCAGUAGGGAAUGUUCCGCAAUGGGCGAAAGCCUGACGGAGCAACGCAGCGUGAGUGAUGAAGGUCUUCGGAUCGUAAAACUCGGUUAUGAGGGAAGAACAUAUUUGUAAGGAACAGUGCAGAUCGUGACGGUACCUAAUCAGAAAGCCACGGCUAACUACGUG